AUUGAACGCUGGCGGCAUGCCUUACACAUGCAAGUCGAACGGCAGCACGGGAGCAAUCCCGGUGGCGAGUGGCGAACGGGUGAGUAAGUAUCGGAACGUGCCCAGUCGUGGGGGAUAACGUAGCGAAAGUUACGCUAAUACCGCAUACGAUCUAUGGAUGAAAGCGGGGGAUCGCAAGACCUCGCGCGAUUGGAGCGGCCGAUAUCAGAUUAGGUAGUUGGUGGGGUAAAGGCUCACCAAGCCGACGAACUGUAGCUGGUCUGAGCGGAGGACCAGCCACACUGGGACUGAGACGCGGCCCAGACUCCUACGGGGGGCAGCAGUGGGGAAUUUUGGACAAUGGGCGAAAGCCUGAUCCAGCCAUGCCGCGUGCAGGAUGAAGGCCUUCGGGUUGUAAACUGCUUUUGUACGGAACGAAAAGGUUUGGCCUAAUAAGCUGAGCUCAUGACGGUACCGUAAGAAUAAGCACCGGCUAACUCCGUGCCAGCAGCCGCAGUAA
rnacentral:rRNA from 1 species